rnacentral:rRNA from 1 species
UCGCCUGUUUAUCAAAAACAUAGUUUAAUGGUUAUAAUAUUAAAUUAAUCCUGCCCAGUGAUUUUUUUUUAACGGCCGCAGUACCUUGACUGUGCUAAGGUAGCAUAAUCAAUUGGCUUUUAAUUAAGGUCUGGAAUGAACGGAUUUAUGAAAAUAAUACUGUCUUUAUAAUAUUUUUGUUAACUUAUUUAUCAGGUGAAAAUACCUGUAUUCAAACAAAAGACGAGAAGACCCUUAGAGUUUUUUAUAAUACCUUUUUUGUUUUGUUUUUGUUGGGGCGACAAGUAAUCAUUCAAACAUUACGUAUAAAUUUUGAUUCGAGUUUUUUAAAGAAAAUUAAACUACCUUAGGGAUAACAGCUUUAUAUAUUUAUAUGUUUGUGACCUCGAUGUUGGACUAGGAACUAUAUGGCUAGCAGUCAAAAUAGAUUGUCGUCGAACAAUUGCCGC